rfam:Myotis davidii contig209685, whole genome shotgun sequence.
GGCGGUCCUUGGGUGACACACCCCGGAAUCGGGCUCUCUCCUCUCUGGUUCCAGGUGCAUCACCAGAGAACUGUC